rnacentral:lncRNA from 1 species
CAAAACUUUACCAGAGAGCUGGUGAGGAACGUCGGAAACACACCCAAACCGUCCAGAGAAUGACAAUCGGGCCACCGGAAUGCGGUAAAACCGUAGGUCAAACCGUCAGAAACCCUAGAAGCCGAUAAGUCAUCAAAAUCAACCGUCCAAAAUCAUCACAAAGUCUUUCCGGAGUGUGUAAUAGAGAAAAACACACUCGGAUACACUCAGAAAAGUCUCCGNN